GUGGAUAUAGUUCAGUUGGUAGAGCGCCAGAUUGUGGCUCUGGAAGUCGUGGGUUCGAGUCCCACUAUUCACCCCA
rnacentral:tRNA from 2 species